AGAGUUUGAUCAUGGCUCAGGAUGAACGCUAGCUACAGGCUUAACACAUAGCAAGUCGAGGGCAGCAUGGUCUUAGCUUGCUAAGGCCGAUGGCGACGGCGCACGGUGAGUAACACGUAUCCAACCUGCCGUCUACUCUUGGACAGCCUUCUGAAAGGAAGAUUAAUACAAGAUGGCAUCAUGAGUUCACAUGUUCACAUGAUUAAAGGUUUUCCGGUAGACGAUGGGGAUGCGUUCCAUUAGAUAGUAGGCGGGGUAACGGCCCACCUAGUCUUCGAUGGAUAGGGGUUCUGAGAGGAAGGUCCCCCACAUUGGAACUGAGACACGGUCCAAACUCCUACGGGAGGCAGCA
rnacentral:rRNA from 1 species